rnacentral:rRNA from 1 species
UGAGAGUUCGACAGGAUUGAAGCUAAUUCGAGUGGCGGACGGGUGAGUAACGCGUGAGCAAUCUGUCCCAGACAGGGGGAUAACACUUGGAAACAGGUGCUAAUACCGCAUAAGACCACGGCAUCGCAUGGUGCAGGGGUAAAAGGAGGAAUCCGGUUUGGGGUGAGUUCGCGUCCGAUUAGAUAGUUGGUGAGGUAACGGCCCCACCAAGUCGACGAUCGGUAGCCGACCUGAGAGGGUGAUCGGCCACAUUGGAACUGAGAGACGGUCCAAACUCCUACGGGAGGCAGCAGUGGGGAAUAUUGGGCAAUGGGCGAAAAAGCCUGACCCAGCAACGCCGCGUGAGUGAUGAAGGCCUUCGGGUUGUAAAGCUCUGUUAUAGGGGACGAAGGAAGUGACGGUACCCUAUAAGGAAGCCCCGGCUAACUACGUGCCAGCCGCCGC